ACAUAUUUAGCUUAAUAGGUAAAGCGUUAGUCUUCGAAACUAAAAAAUAUAGGUUCAAUUCCUUUAAUAUGUU